CCUGAUAGCUUAGUUGGUAAAGAAUCUGCCUGCAGUGCAGGAGACCCUGGUUCGAUUCCUAGAUCAGGA
rnacentral:tRNA from 1 species